GAUGAAGAACGUAGCGAAAUGCGAUAAGUAAUGUGAAUUGCAGAAUUCAGUGAAUCAUCGAAUCUUUGAACGCACCUUGCGCCCUUUGGCUAUUCUGAAGGGCAUGCCUGUUUGAGUAUCAUGAACACCUCAACUCUCAUGGUUUGCCAUGAUGAGCUUGGACUUUGGGGGUCUUGCUGGCCUACGGUCAGCUCCUCUCAAAUGAAUCAGCUUGCCAGUGUUUGGUAGAGUCGCAGGUGUGAUAACUAUCUACGCUUGGUGUUUUCUGCCAGAUAACCUUCAGUGAUGGAGGUUCGCUGGAGCUUAUAAAUGUCUCUCCCCAGUGAGGACAGCUUUUUGAGCGUUUGAUCUCAAAUCAGGUAGGACUACCCGCUGAACUUAAGCAUAUCAAUAAGCGGAGGA
rnacentral:misc_RNA from 1 species